CUAAGCCAGUUUUAAUUGGUGUUAAUUGCAGCCACCAGUGAUUAGAGGCGGCUGUGUGAGGAGCACCAGGAGAGAUAAAGGGUUUGAAGGGUGGCCAUGGGCCUCUCCAGGUCCUGUUAUCCCUUCUGAAAAGGGAGAUUUGUUAUCACCAGCUGCUGUUGUUACUGCUUUCCCUCUCUGUAACCAAAUCUAAUAGCUGUCCUGCCUUUCGUAUUGCUGUAUGGAUUUAAGUGUCUCUUUAGGAAAAUUUUUCACAGCCUUGGUUGACAAAUCAUUGUGUGUGGAUGACCUAGCAAAGUUGACAUCUGUCCAAAACUGCAUUUUCAUGAAUCACAAACAGGAGAUUGAAGCUUGUGCUUUCCUUAAGUCUGGAGUGUGCUUGGAUCUCUGGCUUGUUUGUUCCCACAUCCUGAUUUAAUUGUUAACUUAAGGUUUUAGAAAGAAUCCAGAGGAAUUGCAGUUUCAGAAAUGGUGCUUGAAGGCACUUGUUGGCUUCAUACCUUCUCAGUCUAAGCUCCACACCAAAGCUGAAAGUCUGAUUUCUCACAGGCCUUCGUUGUUUUUUGAAGUGCUUAAUGUCCAUUUGAUCUCCCCUGCUCUCUCUGAAGGAAGGCAAGCUGGCUGGCAGCACGCUGCAGGGAUUGAGGGGGCUGAAGAAGUGGAACGUAAACUCCAGAAUAUUGUCUGGACUGGCUCAAUGUGCCAUCAGGUGUGAGGUUUGGAUAGAGAUUUGUGGAGUUUGAUGCCUUGCCCAGACAGAGCUUGAGUUCAAUCACUUAAAGGCAUGUCCGGCUAGGCACAGCCAUUGUGUUGAGUCCUGGAACAUGAAUAUCCUGUGCGCUUUCAAUAAGAGCCACAGAAGUGUUUGGUUUUACAGGUCACUUCAUUUGUUUCUGGCCCUUGCCUAUGAUAAAUAGCUCCGUCUAUUGCACUGGGCUCUUGCAAAGCUGUUUGCUCAUGCCAGUAGGCGGUCAGGUCUACCUGAGAUGGUUUUUGUGUUUUGGCCUGGGUGGUCCAAGGCCCAGACUGGGAAGACACACUUUGUGAGCUUGGCACAAGCGGGAUUUAUUUGAGUGCCCUCUGGGCUGUCCAUUAGACAAAGCCCGCAGUGGAGAGCAUAUAUCUUAUCAGUGGCAUCAAGAGGUUUUAUUUGGAGACAGGCUGAGAUUUAGAAUGUCACUUUUGACAGUUAUAAAUGAAGCUGUUCUCUCUUUGCACUGUUAUUUAUGCUGUGAUAAUAUUACAUCAGUAAAAUAUACCACUCUGGCAGUGUCAGCUCGUGAUCCCACCUGUCUAGGGCUGUGGCCAAAGCUCCUCCAUCACAGUUGCUCCGUGACCAGAUCUGUCAUUGCUGUGUUAAGUCUCUUCUCUCCUCUACAUCACGGCAAAUGAAAAUCACCACCACUAGCAUCAAAAAUCCCAGAGGGGCUGAACUCCAGGUACCGUCUGUGUUUAUAUUGUCCGUGUUAUAAUCUGUUGGAUGGUCACCUGUGAUACUCCUGCACUGGAGUUUAUUUUUGGGGAGCAAAAAGGCCAGUAACACAGAGGAUGUUGGUCUCCUUUGUGCAAGUCUCCAUUAUUUAUACAGCAAUGACACUUUUUGGGCAACAGUCAGCAUUUGAGCUAGUGAGCAGACAGCCCGGGGUCACUCCCAGAACAGCGGCUGCAAAAAUGCUCAGAGUUUUACAGUUGUGCCAACGUGCAGAGCGGUCUGUCGGUGCCAUCCUGCCUCCUCCGGAGAUCAGUGCCAUCACUCCAGCAGCUGAGAUGCAACACAUCCCCUUUUUGGCAACCUCUCUGAAGGGGGCUUGUGGCCUCCUGUCCACCGCAGAACUGCCUUCAUCAGGAAAACAGGGUACAGGUGUCUUGACUCUGUUACUGAAUCCACAAGGUGGAAGAAGUCCAAGGCUGAAUGGAGCAUCAUUCCCCAGCAACUCGUACCAGAUGUUAAAGAAAUGAAUAGAAAUGAAAGUCAGCAUUCCCUGGGACAAAAGUAUCAAGGCAAGGAAGACCCUUUGCGAAGGAAAACAAAACAAAAUAAAACCAACCAAACAAAAACCCCAAAUCAAUAUAAGUGUCAGUGUUCCCAGAACCCGGACCUACGCCAACAUGCCAGAGGUCCUGAAGUACAUGGAAAUACCUUAAGAAGCGAUGACAGCAGGCAUCUUUUCCUCCUCUUUUUCACUGGUGGGUUUGCUCCCUUGUGUUUGCUGCAGAUGAAGGGUCCAUGGGCAGUCCCCAUGCAGCAGGUUAUAUGACUGUUAGUUGUGAAGGUGGGGUGGACUGAAAAGACUUUGCUCUCAUUGGAGCACUUAAAAAUAUUUUGAAUCUAUAUCCAUUUCAAAAUCUGGAUGUAAAAUGCUGAAACACCUCGUGCCUUUGAGCUUCGUUCCUCCGGAACAGUUUGAGUGCUUGUAAAGUGGCAACCAGUGCUGAACCCUGCAAAUUCCAGUCCCAAGAGUGUUCAGAUAUCUUGGACGGAAACUGAGGCAUUGGGAGGUGGUAAGAGCAGAGCAAAGAGCUCAAGCCCAAAUUCGCUGCUCUAGCUGCUGUUCUCUGCAGCUCCUAGUGUCUAUUGGUGAAUGUGUUGACAACAUUUAUGUGUAAAGGUACUACAGUGAGAGGGAUCAUAUAAAUAGAUUAGACAGAGAGGUUCACUUAAAAUCAACUGGCAGGCUCUGAAGGUUAAUAGUCUCCAUCCCGAACAACUGUCUGAGCAAUCAGCUCAUAUAAAUCUCAGCUCCGUGUUCAAUGCUACUCCUGCUGACGUUUCAGUAGAGCGAUUAUUCAUUUCAACAGACUUCUGGAGGAGAGCCCUGUGGAAAAAAAAAAGAAAAAAAAAGAAAUAGACAAAAGUACAGAAAGUACACAAAAAAAAAGGCAGAGAAAAAAGCAGAAGAUGCAGCCAAGACAUCAGUGAUAAAGUGGAGCAGAAGAGGCAGCCGGAGCCUUGGACUGCAGUGAGGGACAUUGUGUGCUGGAAUCGGGAGUCGCUCAGAGAGAUCAAUAUUUGCUGUCCUGCCAGCCCACAUGCCAAAGGACUGUGUCACAAAAGGGGACAAAACGCACCAUGUAAAUCUGUGGAAAGUUUUUCCACUGCCAUGGAUAGAAGAGGCUCUGGGAAACUGCCUUGUUUUCUCCCACGUGAAGCUGGAGGUGGAUGAAGGCUGGGAAAUCUUUACCUCUGUAUCCAGACUAAGAUGCCUGUUAGAGCAUCUGAGCAAGGGAUGAAUGUACCUGGUCCUCUUCUCCUUGUCCAGGAGGGCACUGUGGACAUCAAAGUGAGUCCUGGGAUCACACAGCUCCUGAGCUACCACAGCUACACACCACCCUGCUUACUCAGGGGUUGCAAGUGACUUACUACAUAGCUAUAAAUUCCAAAUUUCUCCUCUGCAUAUUGGAUUGCUCAUCGGUUAUCUGGACUGCCCAGUGGCAGCACUGUCCGGUUUAUUCUGGAGCUACUUAGAAUUUAUUUCAUAUGUCAGAUGUUCAUAACUGCUCAGACUUUGGCAGCUUUUUGGUUGUCUGAUUCAUAUGGAUAUUUGUUUUUGGCCAUAGAUUUAGCUUGCUCAGAGUUUUUAUGAUGUCUGGUGGAGGCUUCUGUGUUACCCUUUGGCUUGCAAGCCUCAUUUUGACGUGAUGAUUAGAUGAUAAAAAGUAUUUCUCCUUGCUUGGAAGAUGCUACCAUAUGAGGGCUAUGGGACCAUAAACUCAUUGCUAGGAUUAAGUCAGGCUAUAAACUACAAAUUAGUUGUCAAUGUAAGGAAAUACUCCUCAACCAAAGCCAGGCUUCACUUGUAGUCUUCCAGGGAACAGGGGCAAAUAGAUGGUAACCCCAGCAAAGAAAUAUGUGAAGACAGUCCUGGGAAGUUCAGGUAAAGGAUAGUGUCAGCAGUCUGCUUUGGUGCACUGGGAUCUAGGACACAUCAGCUGUUUCUAAUAGUGAAUGCUGAGCCUUAGCAAAACCCUGAAAUUAAUUUUUAAGAGGGUGUUUAGUGUCUAGCCAAGGAACUUCUUUUUGCUAGAACUUUUCCACUAUAACUGGCAGAAAUGCAACCGAUCAUAACUGCGUAUAAAAGAUUGCACAACGCAUCUCCCUGUAAGCCAAAAACAGGGAAAAGGCAAAGAGCAUCCCAGAUAUAUUACAACAAGCAUUUAGACUAAAUGGUACCAUAGCUAUGUAUACCUGCUGUGAAUGUCUCCAAAUACUGGAUGCAAGGACUGUGCUUCACUUUUAAAUCUUUCAAGAAUUACCAUACAAAUAUCAAGAAGUCCAGCUACAAAAGGUAUCAACAGAAAAAGAUGAGCCUUUUGUUUGUUUUAGACAUUAUUCAUUUAUGGUGUUUCUUCUGUGGGUAGGAGAAUCUUUCCUGCAAAGCUUGCUGUAACCUUUUCUUGAGUAAUUAUUGCAGACUACCAGAGCUCCUGUAUAUUUGUGCUGGGUAAUUUGUUGGCUGCUUUAUGGUGCAGAGAAAUUUGGAUGAGAUAAGGCUCUGACCCCAUGCAGUUUAGAAGGAUCGUGACUACCGCUGCCUUGGCACAAUUUUAAAACCAAAAGAAAGAUUUAUAUUAGGUUUCAGAGAGUAAUUUAAUGAUUUAAUUUUGUUAGUGUUUCCCCUUACUCACCAGGCACAGCAAAAUUCAGGUAGAUAGCCCAGCCCAUAUCUCAGUGUUCCUUCUCCAUCCUCCCCAGCUGGUUUUUGUUCCCAGAAGCACAAAAGCAGCCUUUUGGGAGAGGAAGGAAGAGAAGCUAACACCAACAAGAUAAUCAUAGUGGGGAUACUGAGGUCAGAAUAAUAUUUUAAGGUAAUAAGCAAAACAGAGACAUACAUUGGUUGAGUGAAUCAAAUCAUUGCUGGAGAGGUUGAGUUCUCUUUUACAUUAUUGAAUGAAAUUUCCCCAGAAACUUUAAAUCAGUGAUGUUUUCUACUGUAACUCACUUUCUGUGGCAGGUUUGUGUUGUUUUUCAGGUUAUAUAUUUUUCCCUGCUGUUCCUGUUAAUACCAAAUUUAUAGAAAAUAUGGUGGUUUUUUGUUUGCUUUAUUCUUGGACUUGUUCUCAAGUAAAGGGAAAGAAGAAAACAGAAUUUUAUACAAAUGUUUGCUGAAAUUUACAGCUGAAGAACAUUUGAUUUGAAGUUUAGACAUGUAAUGCUCUCCAUAAGUUACCUACUAUAAAUUUGAAACUGAUGUUAUAGUUUUGAUUACACAUUUUUAUGAUGCAUUUUGUGCCUCAUUUCCAGACAGAUUCAUAGCCCUUACAGAAUACUAGAUGAGUGACUCCACAUGCUUCAUGUCAACAAGUUCUCUUUAUUUUUAUUUUUUCCCUGAAACUUCUGCUGGUUAAAAUUAAGCUUUAUUGCAGUCAAAGUACAUUUGUUCUUUUCAUUUUUGAAAGGCUCUUGUUCAUCCCAGAGAAUCUGGUGAAAAUGACCAAGGGUUUUGACUCUAGAGAUAGAUAGCAGUGAAUGAGGGCUGGUAUCCAUACUUCCAACCCUGAACCCAGGUCCUCAUAUAUGUGUUGAAUUGACCACCUGAGUUUUGACAUGAUUAAAGGGCAAGGCAAAGCCUAUCUAACCUACAAAAUGUCCUUUCCAAAAUAAUCCAAGCAAGAGAAAAAGAGAGAGGAGAGAACAAUGUCGCUCUUUACAGGCUAACAGAUGUGAAACUAUCUCCAAAUAGCGGAGUAGCCAACAAUAACCUAUAACAAAUCAUGAGCUGUUGGAAAGAAAAAUAUCUUUACACUGGGCUUUGAAUAAAUGCUGUGGCUUGGAUACAAGUACAGAUUUUGCCCAAGUGUUCUGGCAGAUGCUUUGCCUUUGAUGGGUCUCUAGGAAGGUCCCAUCAUUAUCCUUGCAUCAUCCUGUACCACCCAAAAGUCUGACACAUGUCAAAGCCAGACAUGGUAAGCAAAACAUUAUAUUUAUUUAUAUUUAUUUCUGAAUAAACAGAAGUGUGUUUAUAUUCAUUUCCAACACCCUCAAGGGCUUACAAGGUCUGACUAAGGCUACCAGGACAGAGUUACCCUCUGGCAUAUUCAUAAACACGGGACAUGCAGACACAGGAGGUAGCUGCCCAGGAUAUCACAUCACUGCUUGAUCUAACUACAAGGUCAGCAUGUGCUUUACAUGCAUUAUUGCACCUGACUCACACGGGAUGUGGCUUUUUUUUUGCAGGCUUGCCCUUGAGCUCAUAGUGUGGAAAUUUCUUAUCCCUAAAGAGGAAUAAGCAUCUCCCCUGGGUGUUGUAAGGAUGGUAGCAGUAUCCAGCCUGAAAUGAGUGGCUGAACCAGACGGAGGAAACGAUAAUGCCUUCAGUAGGCCAUCCAGGGGGAAAUGUAACAGCCUGGUGGCAAAAUAAUCCAUCUCCCACCUCUCAUGCAAGGGGAGAGACAGGCAUAUUGCUGCGACCUGCUGGGAUAAUGCGCUCCUGAUGGGCCCAUCAGACCUUUAGAAGAUGGUGGCUGGAGGGAGACAGUCUGCUCCCCAGCAAAGUUUUACCUGCUGUAGUUGGUAAGGCAGAAAAUGUUCCCAGUGUGUCAAAGUGCACAAUUUAUCCUGGGUGUAUCCCUGUUUUCCAAACCAAGAGCAUGCUUGGAGACAGCAACAGUGGAAGGAUGUUGCAGAUGGGUCGGCACAUGCAUCAAAUGCAAAACCCACCUGAAGCCAGUAGUGGUGAAGCUCCCUGUCCCAUGGAGCUGCUCACCAAGGGCAGGGGUUGGAGCAGCUGGUUUUCAGGGAGCUGCUUCAGGAGCAGAUAUUUACACAGCACUUGACAGAAAGUCCACUUCAACAGCUCCUGUUUGCAGCUGGUGCAUUGUGUGGAGGCAGCCACUGCUCAUUUGCUUGUUUUCCAGCUGCACACGCUUUAGUUUGGCUCUGGGGAUCAGGUGCCCAGGGACAUGGGGAAUAGCCCCUGUUCAAGGACAGAACAUCUUGUUAAAAUAUUUUCUUUCCAUAAAAAUGACAGGGACUUUUUUUUAAGGCUGUUGCCUGCCAGCUCAUGAAGCAGAGCUAAGAACGAAUUCCUCAUGUGCAGCAUAUUUCUUUUUAUGACCUGAAAAGCAGCACACAGAGCAGCUUACAGAUUUUCUUCAGGCACUGCUGAUUUAUCUCACACCCAGCCUCCACCCCUUGGAACAGUCAAUCUUCUGGUUUUUAUUUCUUUAAACCUGGCCAUUUCAAAGUGUUUUUUGUAGCAGCCAAGAUGCUGCCUGCCUAUCCUCUCACUACUCUGCAUCAAACCCUUGAGAAUCACUUCAUGGGUUAUCAUCUCACGUUGCUUUGGUGAUUGGCUGUCAGGGGCAAAGAGAAACUGGGCCAGCUUCACCAAAAACUGACUUUCAGACCUUUGUGUCUCCACGUUGUGAGGAACCUUUGGCUUUGUUGUACCCUGGUAACUCCAUCCUCCUUUGCAGGAGCCUGCCCUCGUGUUCCUCUUUGUAAGGCUGAGUAUGGGAUUUUUCAAACCCUUUCCUUCAAAGGGUUGUCAAAACCAUUAAAAAUGCUUUGGAAACAGCUUGAAAACAAAAGGUUCUUUGUUUUCAUCUCUGUGUUUUUCAACAAAGUUUCAAUCUUUUCCACAGCAUGAAGAAGUGUUUUUAGUUCAUUUCCCUAAAAGCUGUAAUACCUUGCAGGUUCUCCCUUUCCUUCAAAUCUCCCUAAAUAUAACAUCUUGAGAAAUUGUCCUUCUCAUGUUCUCCCCAGGAAGUGAUGCAUGUCUUUUUUAAAAAUUAUUAUUAUUACUUAUUUUUUUUUAUUUGUUUUAACCUAAUCUAGUUUAAGAUGUAAGUUCUUCAGGGUGAAGAAGAGGGCUACAUUUUGGCAGCCUUCGUUUGAUAAUAUUGACUUAAUAUGGGUUAGAUCGCCAAGAAUGAGAACAGCAGGCAGUACUUUCUGUUCAAUGCAAGUUCACAUUUAGGGAAGCCGUGGCUUUUAGUAUUUUAUAUUCUAAAAAAGACAAUUACAGAAUCUGGUGUUCCUCAACCCUCUGCUCUGCAACUGUCCAUCAAGGUCAGAUGUUUCCUGGGCAUUAUUUCUGUGCAAUAAGUAGUGGUCAUCUCCCAACCAGCUAAGACCAGAUGCCUGAAUCUAUUGAGACUCCUGUGGUUUGUCCCUCAUCCAAGAAGUCUUCCCAGAGCACUUGAGUGACCUGAAAAUGCAAAUGCAGGGUUUAAAUUGGUAGCAUCCUGUGCUGGCUUAGACUUCCUCAAUGGCUGACAGGAUAGACAAGGAUAUCUGCAGAAGAGAAUUACCUCUUUUCCUGCUGAUUUCACUGAGUCUGUCACAGAUUGUCAUCUGAAAGCAGAGACACUAGAAUAAGAGUUGUUAUUAUUGCAGCCUCUGAGGUAUGCAGAGGAAAUAGUAAAAUAUGUAUGCAAAAUGUCUACAAGUGGAAGCACACCAAGAGCUAUGAAAAUGGGCAGGUGUUUAUAAAACAAAGUUCUUUGCCUUCUACUUUUUCUUGUCUACUUCCUUGCAGAGUUGGAGUUUUUGUCAUGCUAAUAGGAACUCUGUGCACUUUUGUCAAGGUCCUAGAGCUAACGUGAUCCAAAACAUUCAGAAUUUGUGAACUUUUUACUUUUUUAAAAUCUUUUCCAGUCAGUAAGAGAAAAAUCAUUACUCAAAUCUAGCAGUAAUGGAAGUAAAGGUGGUGUUGGUCUAGUCCAAGAAAGAUAAAUUUGAAUUUGAUUCCUUUCAGUGGUAUUCUAGGAACAGUGGCAGAAAUAACAGAUCUGAGGAUGAUCAUGACUAUUAUUAUGUGAUUAAAAUUCUAUUUCUUUUUU